AUUCAACAGGACCAAAGCCGAACUACCCGGGAAGGCAGCGAUAGCACCACAACACGGAUGCCGGAGCCGGGGACAGCGUAAGGGAGCUGGGGCCCCGCCUCCUCCAGACGUGACCACUGUCAGCCGAAGAAAACCUUUAAAAUCUAGUAUGAGAAUACAGAAAAAACAUGGUUCCCAGAUCUGGUUAUGCUGAUGCCACGUCACUACCUAUACAACAUCCUUGAGAUCUCACAUCAUCAUACAAUCCAUCCGGGGCUUUCUGUCAUCCCUCUUCAGGAUAAUCACAACACCCUCCUUCUAUGACAUCUACACAUUUUUCCAUUUGAUGGCACAGAGGCAACAUUCUCUUCUUCUGAUUUGUUCUCAGAGAUUACACAUAAUAUCCAAGGAGAAACUUGUACAAUUUGCUGUCCUCUGCAAUGUAAGGCAUCAUUCCAAACUACUGACAAGGGGAGAAGAUGGACAAAAAGCAUCAGUGGUCAGUUUCAGCCAGUUCGCACCAGUUCAGCAGAACCGGUAGCUAAUUUUUUGUUGCCCAGGCCCAGAAUGGACUUCCAGAAGCGGCAUCCACACAGAGAACCAGCUGUUCACAUAUUUGAAUACCACCACCAAAAAGCAGCAUAUCAUAUUGCUUGGUUUGGUAAUAAAACUAGAAAACUGUUGCAUCUUGUACAAUGUUCUUGCUGAUUAAAAUGACUCUUCAUUUAUGGACCCUAAAUAACUACCGUAUAUGCCGGCGUAUAAGGCGACCCGGCAUAUAAGACGACCCCCGUCUUCGGCGCCAAGUUGCAUGCCUAGAAAGUCGUCUUAUACACCGGAAACUACCAGUAUUUCCAGCGUAUAAGACGACUCGGCGUAUAAGACGACCCCCGACUUCGGCGCCGAUUUUAACCCUUGCGAAAGUCAUUUUAUACGCCGGAAUAUAUGGUAGUCACUCUAUUACACUUUGCUCAGUUAAUUUAAUUUGAUUAUUCAUGACAUCUAUUUUGUAGAAGGAUUUCUAAACCUGCUUUUCCACCUGUGGGCUCUGAUCUUGGACUUUCUCUUAUAUAUUUUCUCUCCUUAUUUCUCUCCUUCUACUUGACACGAAUAACUGCCACAUGAUUUUUUUCAAUAAUUAAAAAACAUGCCAGUGUUGUCAUUUGUCAAAGAAACUGCUUAUUUUUCUAGACACUAAUUUAUUUAUUUAUUCAUUCAUUCAUUUAUUUAUUUAUUUACUUAUUUAUUUAUUAUUUUAUAAUACUUUCAACAUUCGCUGCUAGAUAAAGUCUUCAUAAAAAGCAUAAUAAAUUAGGCAAAUGCCAUUUGAAGUUUAAGGUUUGGAGUGAAUAAUGCAGAAGACAAAAAACAACAACAGAUACAUAGAAGAAUGAAUACAUAACAACAGUAUUUUCCAAACAAUUGCCUGAGUUUUCUCUCUUCUAAUGAGAUUGUAUUUUCGAAAGCACUUUUGAAGAGCACAUCACUAAUGUCUAAACUGUUCAGCCCUUAAGUAAGUGUGCAUUUAAAUAACACUUAUGCAUAGGCACACACAAUCUUUUGAAAUUCCUGAACCCACUGAGCAAAUUCAGUGGGGAUUUUAAUUAACUAUUAAGUACUGCACUAUUCACAACAAAGUAGUUGCUCCACUCUGUAGGAAAACAUUCAGUAAAACAUAUUGGAAGAUGAGAGGAGAAAAACAAAGCGUAAAAGCCAUUAUAGGAAGGCAAUAAUUGGAGAGGCAUGACAGUAUCAUAAUGGAGACUGCAUCCUGUUCUAUAGCAGUUCAAGCAAGCAAGCACAAGGACUUUGUCAAGAAAUAAUACUGAGUGUCUCAUGACACAAUAAUAGGCAAUCAAGAAGUCCAACAGUCAUUCCAAAGUUAGCAAGCUAGACUAAUAGUUCUCAGUUGCAGACCAAGUAGGGCAGGUGAAGAAGUCUUAAGGUCACAGGAUAAACAAUCACGCAGUAGACAGACUAAUGAGGAAACACUGAUAGAAUACUAUUCUACUGAAAACUUAAUAUGGUAAUAUUCCUGGCUCUGGCUUCAAGGCUCUACAGUUUCAAUUGAUAUUUAACAAAGUUAAAUCAUCCAAAGAGGCAUAAAAGGAUUCACAAAUUAACCCUUUAGCUUAAGAAAGUUUACACAACAAAUACGCCCUUUAAUAAUUAUGACACUACAGAAGGCUCUUUCAGUAUACAUCAUAAAGAGGAACUAAAGUUUAAUUUUCUUAACUAUUUUAUCACCUCCAAGAAACCUGUAAGUCUGGGAAAUAUCCCACCCUACUAAGCUAGCUCUAGAUUAACCAUUGAAAAAAUAAGGACAUGAUUGACGAAUAGUGCCUGCGAAGGAGAAGGUGGUGCGAUGGACUAUAGUGAAGUAGCUGUUUCCUAGGAAGAAGGGAGCACAUUCCAAGUAGGAGGCGAGACAAGAGAAAGCACAGCCCAGAAGUGGACUGGAGUCCCAAAGGUGUUUUUUUCAAGAGGCAACUGGACUUUUUUGUUUUUCUUUGAAGAUGUUUUGCUUCUCAUCCAAGAAGCUUCUUCAGCUCUGACUGGUGGGAAUCCCACAUUGCGAUGCCUCUACUGAGAUUAGCCAAUGCCAGUUAGAUUAAUAACUGACUUAAGUAAUUUUCUUUCCUUAUUUUUUUUUCCAUUCUGGAUGAUUUAUUAAAUUUUCACAAUUCUGGUAACUCUCCUUUAGCUAAAGUGUUAUUUGCAAUUCUUGAGUUUCUAGGAGUUUGCUUUCCUUUCAGAAGUUUUCCAACCAUAUUUGUCAGUUGAGGCAAUUAACAAACAAUAAUAGUGCACCUAUGAUGAUAACAUAAAAAAUCUUGAUUAUCAAUAAUAAAAAAUAAAAUUAAAGCUAAACAAACUUAAAUUUCUUGCCCAGUGUGAAAGCAAGCAAGUAAGAAUCUCAGGUUUCCAACUCUGAGAAAAUGAAAUAAAUGGGACAUGCCCAGAAUAAAUAUCACAGAAAGUGACUAUGAUUGGUUGGUUAUGUACCAUCCAAAUUCUUUUCAACUCUUAGUGACCACAUAAAUAGAUUUUUUUUCCCCAUGGCAAUCUGUUCUUUUAAGUCCUUCACUGGUGCAGCCCUCAUCAGUACUGUAAAUGAGUGCUGCUGAUCACCAUCCUCUUCUCUUUUCCAUCUUUCCUGGCAUUAGAGCCUUAGAGAAUUGGAUCUUUGCAUAAUGUGCCUGAAGUAUCAUAACUGGAACCUGAUCAUUUGUGCCUUGAGGGACAACUAUGAGUUGAUUUGUUCAAUGAUUCAUCCAUUUGUUUUUGUUUUUUCUUGACUAUCCAUGGUAUUCUCAGAGGUCUUCUCCAACACCAAAGUUUAAAGUCAUCCAUAUUCUUCCUACCUUACUUCUUCAAAGUCCAAAGUGACCAUGGCUAAAGUAAAAGCCAUAUUUUUUUUUCAAAUCCAUCAUAAAUCAAUUUCCUGUUUUAUCUAACAUUGAUAAUAUUAACAUUUAAUUUAACUUAUUUAAUUAAAAACAGAAGCAAUUGUUGAGGGAAUGUUGCCCCAAAAGCCUCAUAAGCCACUAUGAGAUAUGAAUGGGAUCAGAAAUGACACAAUGGUGAUGUAUCAUAUUUGACAAGUUGGCUAUCCCAUUUGAUAUUUUGAGUACAUAUGAAGGAGCCUAUUAAACUGCAAGUAGCAAAUCCAAUAUCACAGAAUUUAUUCUCUCAAAAUCCAGACUGAAAUGAUUCCCUACUUUCUUUUUACCUUGAUACAAACAGAAUAUUGUUACAGGCUGAUAAUAGUAUCAUUUGAUACUAUUUGAUAGUGCAAAUGGAAUGAGCUGCUUAUUACACCAGUCAUUAUGGAAAAUACAGUAUCUGCUAUUUGACAAAACUGUGAAGGGUUUUUUUCAUCGGACUCAUAAAGCCAAAGAAAUUGAUAAGAGGACUAUCCCUUUUCUAAAGUUCUGUACCUUUCAGAACUGAAAAUUCUAGUUUCUCUAAAAGAGUAGAAGGAAUAAAGCAAAAACCUCUUUAAAAUGCAGCAUAGGGUAAACUGUGGGGCAAAGAAUUUCCUAUCACUUUCCAACAGAACUGCUUGUGAACAUCUAAAGAAUAAAUGACUGACUCCUUAUUCAACAUGAAAAAAAGUUUGGACAAUAAUCUAGACCAGUGGUUCUCAACCUUUUUAAUGCUGCGACCCCCAACCGGUCGUAAGUCAAGGACUACUCAACCGGUCAUAAGUCGAGGACUACUCAACUGGUGGA